rnacentral:rRNA from 1 species
UGGUGGAGUGAUUUGUCUGGUUAAUUCCGAUAACGAACGAGACUCUAGCCUACUAAAUAGUUGUCAGAUCGCCCUGUCUGAUCAACUUCUUAGAGGGACAAGCGGUGACUAGCCGCACGAGAUUGAGCAAUAACA